rnacentral:rRNA from 1 species
GACGAACGCUGGCGGCGUGCUUAACACAUGCAAGUCGAACGGAAAGGCCCUGCUUUUGUGGGGUGCUCGAGUGGCGAACGGGUGAGUAACACGUGAGUAACCUGCCCUUGACUUUGGGAUAACUUCAGGAAACUGGGGCUAAUACCGGAUAGGAGCUCCUGCUGCAUGGUGGGGGUUGGAAAGUUUCGGCGGUUGGGGAUGGACUCGCGGCUUAUCAGCUUGUUGGUGGGGUAGUGGCUUACCAAGGCUUUGACGGGUAGCCGGCCUGAGAGGGUGACCGGCGACAAUGGGACUGAGAGACGGACCAGAAUGCAACGGGAGGCAGCAGGGGGGAAUAUUGCACAAUGGGAGGAAGCGUGAUGAAGCAACGCCGCGUGCGGGAUGACGGCCUUCGGGUUGUAAACCGCUUUCGCCUGUGACGAAGCGUGAGUGACGGUAAUGGGUAAAGAAGCACCGGCUAACUACGUG